GGGCUCAGAGAUGUGACAGAGAAUACCGGGCCUGAAGGUUCAGCUGUGCACAAGAGAAAGGGCCUUGGAUGGCGUGAUGGCACAUGCUUAUGAUCCCAAUGCUCAGAAGGACAGCUGCAGGAUUGAGGCUAUCAUGGGCUAUAGAGGCUAUCACGGGCUAUGGAGCCACAGGGAGCCCUGGUGACCUUCUAACAUGUGGUGACUGCAAACCCUCAUUGACAUAGUGCUGUGACAUCACUGAAGCGCUUCCUGAGGAGCUGGUUAACUGUUCUGCUGAUUCAUUCUCUCUCUCUCUCUCUCUCUCUCUCUCUCUCUCUCUCUCUCUCUCCUCCCCCUUGAAUGAACUGUAUGCUUCUAAUGAAGAAAAUGUACAAAGUUCAUUAUGACACUUAAAAAACAUAUAUUUAUUUUACCUAUGUGUACUGGGAUUUGCCUGCAUG
rnacentral:lncRNA from 1 species